UACGAAGGGGGCUAGCGUUGUUCGGAAUUACUGGGCGUAAAGCGCACGUAGGCGGAUAUUUAAGUCAGGGGUGAAAUCCCAGAGCUCAACUCUGGAACUGCCUUUGAUACUGGGUAUCUUGAGUAUGGAAGAGGUUAGUGGAAUUGCGAGUGUAGAGGUGAAAUUCGUAGAUAUUCGCAGGAACACCAGUGGCGAAGGCGGCUAACUGGUCCAUAACUGACGCUGAGGUGCGAAAGCGUGGGGAGCAACCAGG
rnacentral:rRNA from 1 species